AGGAAGUCGUGCCUCCAAAAGCAGAGUAAGUACUCAAGGUAAAUCGCGUGGUCGUGGUGUAAGUUCACAGGUGCAGUUGACAAUGCAAGAAUCUUUUACCUCUACUGCUCGGCGAUCCAAUAAUAACAAUAGCACGAACUUUACAGGAGAUUACAGUGAUGUGAUGGGUUCAUUAAAAAGUUUCGAUAAAGGCAAAUCUUCAUGUGUUACUGCUGAAACCAUUUCUAGUGACGAGGACAGUGAUCCUUUCAGUGUGCAACCAAGUAAAAGAAAACGACAUUGAUAAACAUUUUUAACUUGAUAAAAUAAGUGGCGCGGUAAGAUUUUGAACCUUCUGGAUCACGAAUAUCUCAUCAAACCUUUUGAUGUAGUUUGGCUCGAAUCUUUAGUGUCAGCCAGUAAAGCCAUGCACAAAAUCUUGAUUCGCAAUGAUUAUUUUUUUAAAUAAAACUUUUUUAUAUUUAACAGAUAUUAGUUUAGAAUAACAGAUUCUACUAGUAGUACCAUAAUACAUUUAUUGUGAA
rnacentral:lncRNA from 1 species